rnacentral:rRNA from 1 species
CUACCAUGCAAGUCGAGCGAUGAAAUCCCUUCGGGGGUGGAUUAGCGGCGGACGGGUGAGUAACACGUGGGUAACCUGCCUCAAAGAGGGGGAUAGCCUCCCGAAAGGGAGAUUAAUACCGCAUAACAUUAGUUUUUCGCAUGAAGAACUAAUUAAAGGAGCAAUCCGCUUUGAGAUGGACCCGCGGCGCAUUAGCUAGUUGGUGAGGUAACGGCUCACCAAGGCGACGAUGCGUAGCCGACCUGAGAGGGUGAUCGGCCACAUUGGAACUGAGACACGGUCCAGACUCCUACGGGAGGCAGCAGUGGGGAAUAUUGCACAAUGGGCGAAAGCCUGAUGCAGCAACGCCGCGUGAGUGAUGAAGGCCUUCGGGUUGUAAAGCUCUGUCUUUGGGGACGAUAAUGACGGUACCCAAGGAGGAAGCCACGGCUAACUACGUGCCAGCAGCCGCGGUAAUACGUAGGUGGCGAGCGUUGUCCGGAUUUACUGGGCGUAAAGGAUGCGUAGGCGGAUAUUUAAGUGAGAUGUGAAAUACCCGGGCUUAACUUGGGUGCUGCAUUUCAAACUGGAUAUCUAGAGUGCGGGAGAGGAGAAUGGAAUUCCUAGUGUAGCGGUGAAAUGCGUAGAGAUUAGGAAGAACACCAGUGGCGAAGGCGAUUCUCUGGACCGUAACUGACGCUGAGGCAUGAAAGCGUGGGUAGCAAACAGGAUUAGAUACCCUGGUAGUCCACGCCGUAAA